rnacentral:rRNA from 1 species
ACGAACGCUGGCGGCGUGCUUAACACAUGCAAGUCGCACGGAAAGGCCCUGCUUUUGUGGGGUUCUCGAGUGGCGAACGGGUGAGUAACACGUGAGUAACCUGCCCUUGACUUUUGGAUAACUUCAGGAAACUGGGGCUAAUACCGGAUAGGAGCUCCUGCUGCAUGGUGGGGGUUGGAAAGUUUCGGCGGUUGGGGAUGGACUCGCGGCUUAUCAGCUUGUUGGUGGGGUAGUGGCUUACCAAGGCUUUGACGGGUAGCCGGCCUGAGAGGGUGACCGGCCACAUUGGGACUGAGAUACGGCCCAGACUCCUACGGGAGGCAGCAGUGGGGAAUAUUGCACAAUGGGCGGAAGCCUGAUGCAGCAACGCCGCGUGCGGGAUGACGGCCUUCGGGUUGUAAACCGCUUUCGCCUGUGACGAAGCGUGAGUGACGGUAAUGGGUAAAGAAGCACCGGCUAACUACGUG